rnacentral:rRNA from 1 species
GACGAACGCUGGCGGCGUGCCUAAUACAUGCAAGUAGAACGCUGAAGGAGGAGCUUGCUCUUCUAGAUGAGUUGCGAACGGGUGAGUAACGCGUAGGUAACCUGCCUGGUAGCGGGGGAUAACUAUUGGAAACGAUAGCUAAUACCGCAUAACAGUAGAUGUUGCAUGACAUUUGCUUAAAAGGUGCAAUUGCAUCACUACCAGAUGGACCUGCGUUGUAUUAGCUAGUUGGUGGGGUAACGGCUCACCAAGGCAACGAUACAUAGCCGACCUGAGAGGGUGAUCGGCCACACUGGGACUGAGACACGGCCCAGACUCCUACGGGAGGCAGCAGUAGGGAAUCUUCGGCAAUGGACGGAAGUCUGACCGAGCAACGCCGCGUGAGUGAAGAAGGUUUUCGGAUCGUAAAGCUCUGUUGUAAGAGAAGAACGAGUGUGAGAGUGGAAAGUUCACACUGUGACGGUAUCUUACCAGAAAGGGACGGCUAACUACGUGCCAGCAGCCGCGGUAAUACGUAGGUCCCGAGCGUUGUCCGGAUUUAUUGGGCGUAAAGCGAGCGCAGGCGGUUAGAUAAGUCUGAAGUUAAAGGCUGUGGCUUAACCAUAGUACGCUUUGGAAACUGUUUAACUUGAGUGCAAGAGGGGAGAGUGGAAUUCCAUGUGUAGCGGUGAAAUGCGUAGAUAUAUGGAGGAACACCGGUGGCGAAAGCGGCUCUCUGGCUUGUAACUGACGCUGAGGCUCGAAAGCGUGGGGAGCAAACAGG